UUACGGCCACAUCAUGUUGAAACACAGGCUCCUGUAUGAUCACUGAAGUUAAGCCAUGUCAAGCCUGGUCAGUACCUAGAUGGGUGACCUCUUGGAAACACUACGUGCUGUAA